GCUGCAUCCCUAUUAAGACCUGCAGUAUGCAGAGGUGUGGGAAGGUCAAUUACUUCUCUCCGCAUGAUGCCCUCAAAGGGAUCUGUGCUUCUUAUCUCAAUUAACUCACACAGAAAUGGAUUUGCCAGGCAAGUGAUAGAGGCUGUUUCCUAUUCCUUCUAAGUGUGACCUAACUAGAAAGAAAACUUCUGUUAAUGUCUUUGGGUGCAGUGCUGAACUCUUGAAUGAAAAAAAUGAGCAAAGCAUAGGCGAUGGAGCAGCUCAGGGAUAGGGGUGUAUUCUGCAUGGCAGCAGGACUGUAGCUGUGUAGCUGUGGGUGCCUGCUGGAGCCAUUACUCAUCCUGCAUGCCUUUCACAUCUUGGAGGCAUUUCAUGGUUUUUAUUUAGCCCGUGCAUGACCACAGUUCAGUUCAGCAGCUGCAUAACACCGCUGUCUAAAACAGGAUAUUAUGGACAGGUGUCCUGAAAAACUGGAGUUUGUUCUUAAUUUCUCUGUCGCAAUAUGUUCCAGCAAGGUCAAAGCCUGAGCAAUCUGCAUGCUGAGCCAACCUCUUACGAUCUGCUUUUUGUUUUUGACCAAGAGAUUACAAGGUGCAAAGACAGUGUUAAGGUGAGAUGUGCUCACCAAAUCGUUGCUGAUUUGCAUUUGGUGUAAGACUUCAAACACUGCCAGCCUUUUAUGUAGGUCAUGUCUUUGUUUUUGUGUCAUUGCAUGCUUGGGGCACUACAAGACAAAAAAACAGGUACCGUGGUUUUAUCUUUUUCCUCUACCCUCCUUUGCCCUACGUACGUGACCUAGAUUAGUUUGCAAGCAAAAAUUAUGGAGCUCACAAAUGGGAAAGCUGCAGGUAGUCUACGCUUACUGCCUUUAUGGAAACACAGACCUAAAGUUCUCCAAAGGGGCUCACAAAUCCACAUGGGGUUCCUAAAUGCUGCAUCCUGCAUUCGGGUCAUUGGUUAGCUGAAAACAGUUCUGAAGUCACAUACAGGCAAGCAGUUUCCUUUUGGCUAGGUAGUAAAGAAAUAUCAUUGAUGUGUUUAUUCCAAGCUUUGUAAGGGAUAUCAAAGAAGAGCUCACCCAGAUAUGCUUGUUUGCCAGCUGUGAAGAAGAUCUGCACAGGAGUGAGGGACAUAGUAACAGCCCUUGAAGGACAGUGUCCUCUCCUUUUGUGGAGCCCACCAAGUGAUUGGUCCUCACACUGCUGCCAUAACCAAGGAGCUCCUCUGCAGUCUUGAUCGCUGGUCAGCCUGGCAUGCACUGUGGUAACAUAUGAACCUGCCCCCAUCCUUGCUCAGCUCCAUCAGAUGCACUGCAGGUAGCCCCUGCAGCCCAGCUGGACUCAGCAGGGCCCUGAGGAAUGAAUCCAUGCAGCUCAGUUAUGCUUUGAGCAGCCAAGAUGCAGCUGGCUGAACAGACAGAACAAGGCCACCACAUUUGGCUCAUCUGCCUGGUGCCGAUAGAGAGCAGCAGCCCGUUCUGAUUACGGACUCAUGCAGAGGUGAAAUUACUCCCUUGGAACCGGUACAAGGUGCACCACAAGUGGAAGAAGCUGCUGGAAUCCAUCUAGAGUAGACUGCUAAUCGGGAGUGCUUUGAGGUGACUUGUAAGCAAAGGCAAUGCUGUGACAGCCUUCAGAAGCCACGGCCUUUGGUUUAUUUUGGGAAUGCGACUUCUGAAUUCCUCUGAAAGUGAUAUCAGUAAAGUCUAGAUGACACAAACAGCUGGCUCCACUUCCGAUGGGAGCACUUGCCAGUAACCAAAGACCCUCCUCGUAUGCGCAGAAGGAAGCAGAGCCCAGAGGCACUGAAACCAUGCCAGCCCUGCUGAAGGUAGCACUUGAUCUGCAGAGGAGCCACCGGGAACAUGAGACUCCAACCGGAGCCAUUUACACGCUGCUGGAACGUGGCCACAGGAACAAACACUGUGGUGUAAAUUCUGCCUGGGUGAAGGAGAGGCCGGAUUAUUGUCCCACAGAGGUCCCUCCCCACCUGCAGCCUGUCACCACUGGGCAUCCGCUGCUAAACAGCAAUAAGAAAGGUGAAGAACUGAUCCUGAGUUAUCCAUUUACAAGCUGUGUGAGCUGCAAAAAUUGAAAUGAAAGAGGGGGUUAAUUGCACUGAACGUGCUCAGAGGAGGCAGAGCUAGGCUUUCCUGUGGAAAACUGCCAUAUGUGACUCUGCACGCAUUUAUCCUUCCUUUGACUUGUAAUGUGGAAAAAGUCAGUAAUCACAGCAACUCAUGAUGUGUUGUCUCACUUGCAGGGACUGCUUGUAGCAUACAUGGAUUGACACAAAUCCUUAUCAAAACUGGAAUUAUUAUCUGCAAGUCACACUUCAGGUUUCUCAAAUAAAACUACGUUUGAAUUCUG